UGGUCUUCCGAUCUCGGGCUUUCAGCAGUGAUAAAAAUUAAGCUAUGAAUGAAAGUUCGAGUAAGUUAUACUGACAUAGGGUUGGUAAACUUUGUGCCAGCCACCGCGGUCAUACGAAUGGCCCAAGUAAAUAAAGUUCGGCAUAAAGAGUGUUGAAUUAAAUAUUCAGUAAAAUUAAAGUACAGCUAAACUGUAC